rnacentral:lncRNA from 1 species
GGAGCUAACAUGUCUUUCUUCGCAGGUGCCUCUUUGGUAGCCUGCAUGUCAGGAGGGCAGGACAGAGGCGAGCAGGUUAACCACGAGGAGUGAGGGGCUUGCGUGAUUCCAGGCAAGAGGACAGGAAAUCUGUGCAGAGGUCCCACAGAGAGGCCAGUGGUGCUGAGGGCCCUCGUACGAACAGAGGUGGCCUACUGUGGACCUGUCUCCCCAGGACUCUGGACUCCUUAUGGUGGCAGCAACUGGCAAUGACCUUCCCCGGCCCCUCGGGCCACCCAGGCAGCCAGGGCUGGAGCUUGCAGGACCCUGGUGGGCAG